rnacentral:rRNA from 1 species
CCUACGGGGGGCUGCAGUGGGGAAUAUUGGACAAUGGGCGAAAGCCUGAUCCAGCCAUGCCGCGUGUGUGAAGAAGGUCUUCGGAUUGUAAAGCACUUUAAGUUGGGAGGAAGGGCAGUAAGUUAAUACCUUGCUGUUUUGACGUUACCAACAGAAUAAGCACCGGCUAACUUCGUGCCAGCAGCCGCGGUAAUACGAAGGGUGCAAGCGUUAAUCGGAAUUACUGGGCGUAAAGCGCGCGUAGGUGGUUUUGUAAGUUGGAGGUGAAAUCCCCGGGCUCAACCUGGGAACUGCCUCCAAAACUGCAUGACUAGAGUACGGUAGAGGGUAGUGGAAUUUCCUGUGUAGCGGUGAAAUGCGUAGAUAUAGGAAGGAACACCAGUGGCGAAGGCGACUACCUGGACUGAUACUGACACUGAGGUGCGAAAGCGUGGGGAGCAAACAGGAUUAGAUACCCCGGUAGUC